rnacentral:tRNA from 1 species
GCCGCCUUAGUUCAGUUGGUAGAACACUUGUGUGGUAUUCAAGAGGUCGUCGGUUCGACUCCGACAGGUGGCU